rnacentral:rRNA from 1 species
CCCUACAGACCGCGAUAACCUCGGGAAACUGAGGCCAAUAGCGGAUACAGCUCUCAUGCUGGAGUGCCGAGAGCUGGAAACGUUCCGGCGCUGUAGGAUGUGGCUGCGGCCGAUUAGGUAGAUGGUGGGGUAACGGCCCACCAUGCCGAUAAUCGGUACAGGUUGUGAGAGCAAGAGCCUGGAGACGGUAUCUGAGACAAGAUACCGGGCCCUACGGGGCGCAGCAGGCGCGAAACCUUUACACUGCACGACAGUGCGAUAGGGGGACUCCGAGUGUGAGGGCAUAUAGCCCUCGCUUUUCUGUACCGUAAGGUGGUACAGGAAUAAGGACUGGGCAAGACCGGUGCCAGCCGCCGCGGUAAUACCGGCAGUCCAAGUGAUGGCCGAUAUUAUUGGGCCUAAAGCGUCCGUAGCCUGCUGUGUAAGUCCAUUGGGAAAUCGACCAGCUCAACUGGUCGACGUCCGGUGGAAACUACACAGCUUGGGGCCGAGAGACUCGACGGGUACGUCCGGGGUAGGAGUGAAAUCCUGUAAUCCUGGACGGACCACCAAUGGCGAAAGCACGUCGAGAGACCGGACCCGACGGUGAGGGACGAAAGCCAGGGUCUCGAACCGGAUUAGAUACCCGGGUAGUCCUGGCUGUAAACAAUGCUCGCUAGGUAUGUCACGCGCCAUGAGCACGUGAUGUGCCGUAGUGAAGACGAUAAGCGAGCCGCCUGGGGAGUACGUCCGCAAGGAUGAAACUUUAAGGAAUUGGCGGGGG